rnacentral:miRNA from 4 species
CUCACUGAUCAAUGAAUGCAAA